rnacentral:RNase_P_RNA from 1 species
CUUUUGCUGAGGAAAGUCCGGGCUCCAUAGGGCAGAAUGCUGGUUAACGACCAGUGGGGGUGACCCUAAGGAAAGUGCCACAGAAAACAAACCGCCAUAUUUUGGUAAGGAUGAAACGGUGCGGUAAGAGCGCACCAGCAACUGGGUGACCAGUUGGCUUGGUAAACCCCAUUCGGAGCAAGACCUAAUAAAAACGAUAACAUUGCCCGUGUUGUUUUGGGUAGGUCGCUAGAGAUUUGAGGUAACUUAAAUUCAAGAUAGAUGAUCGCUGAUACAGAACCCGGCUUAUUACC